GCGGAUGUGGCGGAAUUGGUAGACGCACCGGACUUAAAAUCCGGUGACCCGCAAGGGUCGUGUGGGUUCGAUUCCCACCAUCCGCACCA
rnacentral:tRNA from 1 species